UACGAAGGGGGCUAGCGUUGUUCGGAAUCACUGGGCGUAAAGCGCACGUAGGCGGAUCUUUAAGUCAGGGGUGAAAUCCCGAGGCUCAACCUCGGAACUGCCUUUGAUACUGGGGAUCUCGAGUCCGGGAGAGGUGAGUGGAACUGCGAGUGUAGAGGUGAAAUUCGUAGAUAUUCGCAAGAACACCAGUGGCGAAGGCGGCUCACUGGCCCGGAACUGACGCUGAGGUGCGAAAGCUAGGGGAGCGAACGGG
rnacentral:rRNA from 1 species